GUUCAGCGUUCUGCUUCUCCAGACCCGCCAGACGACGACUCAUCUUCACCACCUGGACACGAGAAAGGCGCUGAUCUGUUAUACUGCACUGUGCUGCUGUGCCUCCCAUGCAGGCCCCAGAGGGAGGGCUGAGCCUUGCUUUGAUGAUGUGAACAGUGGAUGGGGGCUCAUGUCCGGGGCAUCUAUUAGCCCAUCUCCAGACCAGCCAUGUCCCCACCUGUGAGAGACAGCCUGUCUGGGAUGUGCAUGCUGUAAGAAGCGGGACAGUCAGCACACUC